AUACGUAGGCGGCAAGCGUUAUCCGGAAUUAUUGGGCGUAAAGAGUGAGCAGGCGGUUGAUUAAGUCUGAGGUUAAAGCGUGGGGCUCAACCCCAUAAAGCCUUGGAAACUGAUUGACUAGAGUACGGGAGAAGUGAAGGGAACUCCAUGUGUAGCGGUGAAAUGCGUAGAUAUAUGGAAGAACACCAGUGGCGAAGGCGCUUCACUAGCCCGAAACUGACGCUCAGUCACGAAAGCGUGGGUAGCAAAUAGGAUUAGAUACCCUAGUAGUCCACGCUGUAAACGAUGACAACUAAAUAUUGCCGCGAGGCAGUGUUGAAGCUAACGCAUUAAGUUGUCCGCCUGGGGAGUACGGUCGCAAGACUGAAACUUAAAGGAAUUGGCGGGG
rnacentral:rRNA from 1 species